AACUAACAAGGAUUCCCUCAGUAACGGCGAGUGAAGCGGGAACAGCUCAAAUUUGAAAUCUCCGAUGCUUGCAUCGGCGAGUUGUAGUUGCGAGAAGCACUUUCUAGGUGGAUCGGUCGCGCCUAAGUUGCUUGGAACAGCACGUCGCAGAGGGUGACAACCCCGUCUGUGGCGCGGCCGGCCGCUGACGAUGUGCUUUCGAAGAGUCGGGUUGUUUGGGAAUGCAGCCCAAAAUGGGUGGUAAACUCCAUCUAAAGCUAAAUACUGGCGUGAGACCGAUAGCGAACAAGUACCGUGAGGGAAAGAUGAAAAGAACUUUGAAAAGAGAGUUAAAAAGUACGUGAAACCGUUGAAAGGGAAACGAAUGGACUCAGCAAUGCGCCGUUUGAGAUUCAGCCGGUGGGUGGGAUCGGCGCGGGGUUUGCGGAUCUGAAUGGACCGCGGCCUCGAGCUCGUUUCUCCCCGCCGUCGCACUUCUCUUGGGCGCGCGUCAACGUCGGUUGGGACUGGGUCUGAAAGGUGCCGGGAAGGUAGGUCUGGACCUCCGGGUCCGUUCUGUUACAGCCCGGUUCUCUCAUGGCUCGGGCCCGACCGAGGAGUUGCAGCGCAUGCCUCUUGUGGCUAGGGUCCCGUCCUUCCGGCCGGUUGUCGAAUGUGGUGGACUGCUUGCAGUGCUCCGCGACUGCUGCCGGUCGUUGGGGUGGUGAUCUCGUACCAUGCGCUUAGGAUGUUGGCGGUCAUAUGGGUCC
rnacentral:rRNA from 1 species